UUGUAGUUUAUUUGAAAUAUAGGCUAUUUAGGUAAGAUAACAUUCUACCGUUUAUAACUAGUUUCCUAGUACAAACGUUCAAAAUGUGUGUCAGAUUAACAUCAAAACAUGUAUAUCUAUUACCAGAUGUUUAUAUUUGUGUGUAAUUGAGUUUCAGGGAUGAAGAAUUCAAUGGGCUUUUCCCUACCAUGUUAACACUUACUCAUUUGCUCUUUCGUUCUUAAAUAUUACUUUGCCGGAGAUAAAUGUUGUUUAUUUUUUUCUUGCGCGGCUGUCCUGCUAACAAAAACAACCGGUAGUGACUACACUAGACACUACAAAAGUCAUCUCAGCUGCACAACACACCAUCCUGUUUUGCUACAAGAUUACGUUCUAACCUAUUUCCGUUUCUCAUUGAAACGAUCAGAGGAGAACCAGACAUGACUUAUCUGAUCUUCAAACUGUGUGUUCUACUUAGCUUCGCAGUUUCAGGCUUAGCAGUGACAGUAAACGAAGAUGGUAAGGAGGUAGACUGUAGUGUCCCAUGUGCUUGUUGUAGAGAAGGACGAAAACGUUGUGGAAAAAGUCAUAUUUGCGAUUCUGGCUGCAUUGAUACAGUAUAUGGUAACAGAUGUGAACAUCUUUGUAAAGGCAACUGUUAUACGUGUCAACAAUCGAAGGGGACAAUCUGUACGACAUGUAAGGAAACAUUUUAUGAUAUCGACAGUAGCUGUGGUAAGACCUGCUCAGUCGGGUGUAUUGGUGGAAAAUGCAACUAUCUAGAUGGCACAUGCUCAUGUCGUAACUUCAAAGGAGGAAGAUGCGAUGCGUGUGUUGACGGACGGUAUGGUUCAACCUGUGAUCAGGUUUGCAGUUUUGGCUGUGCAACAAUUUCCUGUGACAAAAACACUGGUUCUUGUGGAUGCCAUGCCUUUUUUAUAGGCGAUAAAUGCGAUAUUUGUACAGAUGGGGACUAUGGUUUUCCAGGCUACACAUAUUCGAAAUGUGGAACAGCUUCAAAGGCUAGCGUUGGCGAUGACUUUCUCACUGCCACUACUGUCAAGAUUUAUGGUGGGGUAUUAGUGGCGAUAAUAGCGAGUGUGUUAGUGGUUGUGAUGUUAACAAAGAGAUAGAGGAACUUCUGUUUGUGUUCCAUGUGACCUAGAUGUAACAGGAAGAAGGCAAACGACGCAAUACCAAAUGGGAUAAAAACCAGCAAUCGAAAAACUGGAGAUACAGAAUUCAAACUCAUGUACGAGUAUUUAGACGAAAACACACGUGAAUAGCAACAGAUACCUGAAAAUGGAAUGCCACUUGUUUCGACUGUUAUGGUUGGAAUGCGGUCUAUUGAUGAUGUAAAUACGGUUUAUUACGAAAAUGCAAAUAAAGUUGAUACUGUGUAAGGAGAAAAUGGAAUGACCAAUUGUGUAUUUGUGACUACGUAAAAACAGGACACUGUUAGAUAGUACUGGACUAAUUCUUGUAGAUCCUAGUGGAAAUCAAAAAAUGUUAACCAAAUAUAAUCAAAUAUAUAUAUAUAUGUACGAACA